rnacentral:rRNA from 1 species
CAGCCGCCACGGGAAUACGAAGGAGGCUAGCGUUGUUCGGAUUUACUGGGCGUAAAGGGCGCGUAGGCGGACUGAUAAGUCAGGGGUGAAAUCCCAAGGCUCAACCUUGGAACUGCUUUUGAUACUGUUUGUCUUGAGUUCGAGAGAGGUAAGUGGAACUGCGAGUGUAGAGGUGAAAUUCGUAGAUAUUCGCAAGAACACCAGUGGCGAAGGCGGCUUACUGGCUCGAAACUGACGCUGAGGCGCGAAAGCGUGGGGAGCAAACAGGAUUAGAGACCCCCGUAGUCCCUGUCUCUUAUAC